rnacentral:rRNA from 1 species
CGCACGGGUGAGUAACACGUAUCCAACCUGCCGUCUACUCUUGGACAGCCUUCUGAAAGGAAGAUUAAUACAAGAUGGCAUCAUGAGUCCGCAUGUUCACAUGAUUAAAGGUAUUCCGGUAGACGAUGGGGAUGCGUUCCAUUAGAUAGUAGGCGGGGUAACGGCCCACCUAGUCUUCGAUGGAUAGGGGUUCUGAGAGGAAGGUCCCCCACAUUGGAACUGAGACACGGCCCAA